ensembl:lncRNA
AUGAGGCUCCUGGUGCUCCUUGCGGCUCCUCUCUCCAUCCUCCUCCUCCACGUUGCAGCGGCGGCCCCCGCGGGCGGCGUGUCCCCGGGCCGCCUGGAGCGCUGGGUCCGCUCGGGCCUCCAGUCGCUGCAGUGGGACCAGCUGGACCGGUGCCUCCGCAUGUCCUCGCUCUCCGAGGCCGAGUGCAGGCGGCUCGCCCACCUGCCGCUGUCCGCCGUGGCCGUGUACGUGUCGGAGCCUCGCACAGCCGCAGGUAACGCAGACACAGUCGUGGCCAUCCUGCCGGACUCCUCGGGCGGCUCCGCGGGCUCCAAACUGCGGGGAGGGUUCAGGCAGCAGCAGUCUUCCCCCGGCUCCGCGGCCCACGAUGCCGUGCUGGUGCUGGAUCCGAGCCCCGGGGAGAACUUUGGGCACCCGGUGGUCCUGUUCUACGUGGAUGUGAAUGUGACGAAGAAGAGAUGCUCUCACCUGGAUGGCAUUUACCUGGGCGAGGAGUGUUUGACUCUGGCUCUGAAGGGCCGUUGCCAGAACCAGCUGAAGCGUCGGCAAGCCGGGCCGGAGAGGCUCAUGGGUAACGGGCAUCGGCUGGCCGGCGGGCCGCUGCGCGCUAGCGUCACCACCACUGGCGGUGGAAGCCGUCUGGUGGAGCGGCCCGUCGGGGGGCUCUGUGAAGUCCACUUCCUUCCGCUGGUGGUCGGAGCCGGAGACAGCAACCGAACGCAGAGGCUCAAGUGUGUCGACCAUGCGGAGUUUGCGAGGUGCCCUCAGCCACUGCCGAUGGGCUCGCCCAGUUUGCCCGCCUCAAGCUGUGAGCUGAAUAAGAACACCCGGCGCUGCCACCAGCAGCCGCUGGCCACUCACCUCGCCUGCCGCCUCUACCAGACCUGCGACCACGCCGUGCUCCUCUCAGGCGGCUGGCAGCAGCAGAUGACGUUCCAGCGUCACGUUGAGAACCUCCAGAGGUUCUACAGAAUGCUGCGGAACAACGGCUUCCACAAAGAACACAUCAAGACCUUCUUCGCCAGCAGUGGACAGCUUCCCGCCGACGUGGAGGGAGUGUACUCGGCAACGGAGAAAGCGGCGAUCCGUAACCACGUGUCCUACGUGUGCAGGAAGCAGCACUGCGCCGACUCGCUGGUCCUCUACCUGAACUCGCCGACGCGCAACGACGGCGCCAUGCUGCUGUGGGACGCCAACCUCAACGGCAUCGCCGACUCUAAGGAGCGAUACUCGGUCAACGAGCUGCUGGCCGACCUGGCCGGCUGCAGGGCCGCGCGCGUGCUGCUGUUUGUGGAUCAGAGCUACAGCGGCGUUCUGUCCAAGAGGCUGCGGGGGUCCCAGAAACACCGCAACGUGGUUCUGAUCCAGAGCCAGAGCCGGCACGGCCGCCAGAGGUCGAGCCCCGGCUGGGACGAGGGCAGCUGGUCCCACGUCGGCCCCGCCAGCUGCCUGCUGGGCCACCUGGGGAAGGGCACCGGGACGUCCCGCCUUCUGGAGCCGUGGGCCGGCCUUCUGAACGUGACGCUGGCCGGCGCCCCGUGCAACGCCACGCCGCCUCUGACGGAGGGCGAGAUGCGACGGGAGUACCAAGGCUGCCAGAACCUGCCCACCGCGCUCUGGCACCGGACAAACAGGAGGACCAACUGA